rnacentral:rRNA from 1 species
CCUACGGGAGACAGCAGUGAGGAAUAUUGGUCAAUGGACGAGAGUCUGAACCAGCCAAGUAGCGUGAAGGAUGACUGCCCUAUGGGUUGUAAACUUCUUUUAUAUGGGAAUAAAAUGUUCCACGUGUGGGAUUUUGUAUGUACCAUAUGAAUAAGGAUCGGCUAACUCCGUGCCAGCAGCCGCGGUAAUACGGAGGAUACGAGCGUUAUCCGGAUUUAUUGGGUUUAAAGGGAGCGUAGGUGGAUUGUUAAGUCAGUUGUGAAAGUUUGCGGCUCAACCGUAAAAUUGCAGUUGAAACUGGCAGUCUUGAGUACAGUAGAGGUGGGCGGAAUUCGUGGUGUAGCGGUGAAAUGCUUAGAUAUCACGAAGAACUCCGAUUGCGAAGGCAGUUCACUGGACUGCAACUGACACUGAGGCUCGAAAGUGUGGGUAUCAAACAGGAUUAGAUACCCGAGUAGUC